rnacentral:tRNA from 1 species
GCUCAGAUAGCUCAGUUGGUAGAGCAGAGGACUGAAAAUCCUCGUGUCGGUGGUUCAAUUCCGCUUCUGAGCA